rnacentral:rRNA from 1 species
GUGGGGAAUAUUGGACAAUGGGCGAAAGCCUGAUCCAGCCAUGCCGCGUGUGUGAAGAAGGUCUUCGGAUUGUAAAGCACUUUAAGUUGGGAGGAAGGGCAGUAAGUUAAUACCUUGCUGUUUUGACGUUACCGACAGAAUAAGCACUGACUAACUUCGUGCCAGCAGCCGCGGUAAUACGAAGGGUGCAAGCGUUAAUCGGAAUUACUGGGCGUAAAGCGCGCGUAGGUGGUUUUGUAAGUUGGAGGUGAAAUCCCCGGGCUCAACCUGGGAACUGCCUCCAAAACUGCAUGACUAGAGUACGGUAGAGGGUAGUGGAAUUUCCUGUGUAGCGGUGAAAUGCGUAGAUAUAGGAAGGAACACCAGUGGCGAAAGCGACUACCUGGACUGAUACUGACACUGAGGUGCGAAAGCGUGGGGAGCAAACAGGAUUAGAAACCCCGGUAGUCC